GGCCCUCGUGUGUGUGUGUGUGUGUGUGUGUGUGUGUGUGUGUGUGUGUGUGUGUGUGCGCGCACAUGCGCACUCCCAAGCAAUGCUCAG
rnacentral:pre_miRNA from 1 species